GGCGGCGGCCGUUUCUCCCUGCCCGCGUCCCCGGCGGCAGCCUGAGCCUCGAAGGGGGUCCUUUUCCCCUUUAUAGCGGCCCGUGUUGUGGUACAGACAGUUGUUUUUCUUAGGCUGUGUUCCGUGGAGUACUUCUCCCCGCAGCCCGGGUUCACGGACGCGACGCAGUGUCCGAGGCCGCGACGCCGAAUGGAGGACGUCUGCGACCAGCGUCGAGGCCCGGGUUCGUGUCCGAACGGCGCUCGGCCGCCGCCUUUCCUGGUCGGCCAUUCGGUCACCUCGACCCGCUGUGGGCGCCUUGAAGGGGGCUGGGAACGGCCGUCGACCAGAGCCCGCUACAGCGAGGCCUUCCGCAGCCAUCCUGUGCACUCCGCGGAGGCUCCCAGGCAGGCAGGGGAGCGGCCUCGGUGCGCCCUGGAUGGUCUUUGUCGAGCGUGGAAGCUGAGACCGGCUAACCGUAGGCGGGCCUCCUAGGUUUAGGAUUGCUUGGAGGAGCAUUAUUUGGCUUUCUCCGGUUGGCCCUAAGUGGGACAGGGGCAAAAAAUAGGGAAGCUAGCAGUUAGUGACCCAAGGGCUGACUGUUUGGGCCCUCUUGCUGCAGAGGUUACGGGUCCGUUCCAUUACAUAUGGUCUGUUGUGUGUGCUGUUUCACUGCGUCGUGGGGUCAGAGCCUGAGGCCCGACAGCUGCUGACCCACCCCGACUCUCGAAGAAGGGAGACCGCAGGAACCUGCCCAGGCCGGCGGGAGCCUCUCUGGCUCUGCUCAAACCUCGACCCUAAACUCUGAGGUACCAUCAGCUUGGGCAGCAUCAGAAUGCUAAAUAGCCCCUCAACACCCCUCAGGAAAAUCAGGUGACAGAGGAGAAGGAGAGGGAGGAGAGGAGAAGACAUUCCUUGAUCAACGGUCCAAUGCCUGUUCUUUUUUUCUAGCAACUCCAUAAAAGCAAAGCCUUUUUCUGCCUGACCUUUGAGAAGCAGAUCUUGUGGCAUUCAAGGACUGCUUGUUGAGCAAGUGACCCAAAGCAUGUACAUCUCCCAGCUCUGCCACUUCUACUUCUGUCCCUUUGCACAACUUGCUGAGUUUCCUUCUGUUCACCCACAAAUCAGGAAGAAUACUGCUGGCCUGGCAAGGUUAUUGUGCGCCCUAAGAAGAUACUGAAACAAAGCAGGGGCUCUGACGGUGGUCCAGAUUGUUGGCUGUCAUUAAAUGCCAGCUUUGAAGAGUAAUAAGGGUGGUUGUUUCUGUGUUCUGUGAUCCGAGGCUCUGAGAAAAGCCAGGUCUCAGCUUGUGAACUGGGCCGUUUUCUCCAGCCUUCAGAUGACUCAUAAUUCUACCUCAUCCAUUUCUGUAAGUGCAGCUGCCUCUCCCCCAGAUGUUACAUUUGCAUCCUUUUCUAGCAGAUAACAGUCCUUGUCCCAAGCUCACAAAAAAAGUCCGAUCAUCCUACUCAUCCAGACUGUUAGACUUUUCCUACCUAACCAAUCUCCACAUUUCUGUAAGAACUGAGAUUCGUUCCAGUAGAAUCAAACCACUAGUUCCCUUUGGGUUGCCAACCCCAGGCACAGUGUCUGCCCCUAUAACCUCCAGCAGAUCCAGUGCUUCCCAUUGAGAUACACCAUCCCUUAUGGCACAGAUCAGCACCCAUUGGUAGAAACUUGCAAAUCAUGUAUACCCCAUGUUUUAGUUUGCUAUCAAUGCAGAAACAAAUUACCACAAAGUUAGUGGCUUGAAUACAGAUUUGUUAUUUUACCAUCCUGGAGGUCAGAAGUCUAUCACUGGGCUGAAAUCAAGAUGUCUCCAGGACUGUGUUCAUUCUGAAGGCACUAGAAAAUGAGUCCAUUUCCUUGCCGUUACCAGCCUUUAGAAGCCACUCGCAUUCCUUGGCUUAUAGCCCUGCAUCACUCCAAUCCCUGCUUUUGUUAUAUCUUCCUCUCUUACUCAUUCAUACCCUUCUGUCUCCCUCUUAUAAUGACCUUUGUGAUGACAUUGGGCCCAUGGGGAUAAUCCAGGAUGAUCUUCCUGUUUCAAAAUCGUAACAUAAUUGAUCACAUCUGCAAAGUCCCUCUGGCCAUGUGAAGCACCAUUUUCACAGGUUCUGGGGACCAGCAGUGGACACCUGUGGGGCUGUCACUGUGCCUCCCAUGAUCCCCCAGGAGAUUCAGAGACACUGAGCCCUGAUGGCAAACUCGUGAAUGUAAUGGUGGGUGCUGCUGAUAUGAAUUAUGUGUGGGUGGGAAAAGAUGGGAAACCACCAGCUUCAUAUAUUCGAAUCCUGCAUCAUCUCAUCCUACUUUAAGGGAAGUGGGAACUCUAACCUUCACUUCAGAGAUGAAUUUCUCUGGCCUUCUAAAGCAGUCACCUGGAUUUCAAAUUUGGUCCCUUUCAGUAAAUGACCCCAAACCUCAGGGUCCCUGGAUGAGCUGCUAGGCAAGCUCACCCUCAUCUGUUCACCCCGAGGGGAUGAUUUCUCCUCUCCUCAUUCACCACUCAACAUCAUGUGCCCUUGUCACAGUUUCAGCUGAUAACACCACUUCCGUUUCCCUGAGGAAACAGAAAACCCCAGCAUCCUUAAUGACCUCAUCUCAUGGAAGUUACACAGCUUGACUUCUGCCAACCCUAUGGAUGGAAGCAGUCACCAGCCCAGCCAGAUUCUAGGAAUGGAGGAAAGGCAAAGCAUUUGUAGCCGUAUCUGAAACCACCACAGAUGUGAAAGCAGUCAGCUCACCUCCUUCAGUGACCACCUUCUGGCAACAAAUCAGUGUAUGACGUUUCAGGAUGAACUGACCUCGUUUGAGGACAUGGCUGCGGCCUUCACUAGUGGGCAAUGGGCAUCAUUGUGAGGCCACUCCCAAGGUGAACAGACAUCCCUACAUCAUCAGGACUUGGAAAAGGAACUGAUGUUCUCCACUGAAAACUGCUCUGUCUCCCCUAGAAAGAUCUGCCAACUGUGUAGUGGGAGGGCAGCAGGCCCUGGUAAGUUCUUCAGCCCCUGUAUGUUUAAUCUCUCAAAGAAGUUAACAUGUGAAGAUGUUUAAAUGUGAUACAGCAGCCCUGUGCCCUGUGCCUGAUGCAUGAAGGGCAACAGGACAGCUGGUGUGCCAUCAACAUUCUCCAGGCACCUGGCCUCCUGGCCCCACUAGUCUGUCUCCAGGGGCUAUUCACUUCUGUAGAGAAAGGAGCGAGACACUCUCACUCCAGAAGGCAUGACUGUGCCUCACCCUUGUCAGCAUGAGCCCAAGGGCUCUUAAGAGGCGUGCUCAGCAGCAUUCAACCAAUAUCUGAUGAGCAUAAGUUCAAUAUCUGACCCAAGAGUUUUAGAACACGUUUUGAAAUAUUACGCACAACUCGAGAGCAGAGGUGAAGUUGUGGAGCAAGGGGUGGGAUGGGCUGCAGGUUACAGGCUGUGUGACCGGGAGAAAUGAUUUUAAUCUGUCCUUUCACGUAAAAAAAUGAAAU